UUCCGGUUGAUCCUGCCGGACCCGACCGCUAUCGGGGUAGGGCUAAGCCAUGCGAGUCGCGCGCCCGGGGGCGCCCGGGAGCGGCGCACGGCUCAGUAACACGUGCCUAACCUGCCCUCGGGAGGGGGACACCCCCGGGAAACUGGGGCCAAUCCCCCAUAGGGGAGGGGCGCUGGAAGGCCCCCUCCCCCCAAAGGGCCGGCGGCCGAUCCGUCGCCGGCCGCCCGAGGAUGGGGGCACGGCCCAUCAGGUAGUUGGCGGGUUAAAGGCCCGCCAAGCCGAAGACGGGUAGGGGCGGUGAGAGCCGCGAGCCCCGAGAUGGGCACUGAGACAAGGGCCCAGGCCCUACGGGGUGCAGCAGGCGCGAAUACUCCGCAAUGCGGGCAACCGCGACGGGGCUACCCCGAGUGCCGGGCGAAGAGCCCGGCUUUUGCCCGGUCUAAAAAGCCGGGCGAAUAAGCGGGGGGCAAGCCUGGUGUCAGCCGCCGCGGUAAUACCAGCUCCGCGAGUGGUCGGGGUGUUUACUGGGCUUAAAGCGCCCGUAGCCGGCCCAGCAAGUCGCUCCUGAAAUCCCCGGGCUCAACCCGGGGGCGGGGGGCGAUACUGCUGGGCUAGGGGGCGGGAGAGGCCGCCGGUACUCCGGGGGUAGGGGCGAAAUCCGUUAAUCCCCGGAGGACCACCAGUGGCGAAAGCGGGCGGCCAGAACGCGCCCGACGGUGAGGGGCGAAAGCCGGGGGAGCAAAGGGGAUUAGAUACCCCUGUAGUCCCGGCCGUAAACGAUGCGGGCUAGCUGUCGGCCGGGCUUAGGGCCCGGCCGGUGGCGAAGGGAAACCGUUAAGCCCGCCGCC
rnacentral:rRNA from 1 species